rnacentral:rRNA from 1 species
AUACGUAGGGGGCGAGCGUUAUCCGGAUUUAUGGUUUAAAGGGUGCGUAGGCUGUUCGGAAAGUCAGGGGUGAAAGCCCGGCGCCUAACGCCGGAACUGCCUUUGAUACUUCCGAGCUGGAAUACGGAUGCCGUGGGAGGAAUGAGUAGUGUAGCGGUGAAAUGCAUAGAUAUUACUCAGAACACCGAUUGCGAAGGCAUCUCACGAAUCCGUCAUUGACGCUGAGGCACGAAAGCGUGGGGAUCAAACAGGAUUAGAUACCCUGGUAGUCCACGCAGUAAACGAUGAUGACUAACCGUCGGCGAUACACAGUCGGUGGCCAAGCGAAAGCGAUAAGUCAUCCACCUGGGGAGUACGUUCGCAAGAAUGAAACUCAAAUGAAUUGACGGGG